GCAGAAAUGGCGGAAUUGGUAGACGCGCACGACUCAAACUCGUGUACUUCGGUGUGUGGGUUCGAUUCCCACUUUCUGUA
rnacentral:tRNA from 2 species